GCAGCAGCCGCGGUAAUACGGAGGGUGCAAGCGUUAAUCGGAAUUACUGGGCGUAAAGCGCACGCAGGCGGUCUGUCAAGUCAGAUGUGAAAUCCCCGGGCUUAACCUGGGAACUGCAUUUGAAACUGGCAGGCUAGAGUCUUGUAGAGGGGGGUAGAAUUCCAGGUGUAGCGGUGAAAUGCGUAGAGAUCUGGAGGAAUACCGGUGGCGAAGGCGGCCCCCUGGACAAAGACUGACGCUCAGGUGCGAAAGCGUGGGGAGCAAACAGGAUUAGAUACCCCUGUAGUCCCUGUCUCUUAUAC
rnacentral:rRNA from 1 species